AAAAAUUUAGUUAAAUCCCCAUAACAUUAGCUUGUCAAGCUGAAAUUAUUCAUAAAGAAUAAUUUUUA
rnacentral:tRNA from 1 species